rnacentral:rRNA from 1 species
CCUACGAGAGGCAGCAGUAGGGAAUAUUGCUCAAUGGGGGAAACCCUGAAGCAGCAACGCCGCGGGGAGGAUGAAGGUUUUCGGAUUGUAAACUCCUUUUGUUAGAGAAGAUAAUGACGGUAUCUAAAGAAUAAGCACCGGCUAACUCCGUGCCAGCAGCCGCGGUAAUACGGAGGGUGCAAGCGUUACUCGGAAUCACUGGGCGUAAAGAGCGCGUAGGCGGGAUAGCAAGUCAGAUGUGAAAUCCUAUGGCUUAACCAUAGAGCUGCAUUUGAAACUGUUAGUCUAGAGUAUGGGAGAGGUAGGUGGAAUUCUUGGUGUAGGGGUAAAAUCCGUAGAGAUCAAGAGGAAUACUCAUUGCGAAGGCGACCUGCUAGAACAUAACUGACGCUGAUGCGCGAAAGCGUAGGGAGCAAACAGGAUUAGAUACCCCAGUAGUC